AUUGAACGCUGGCGGCAGGCCUAACACAUGCAAGUCGAACGAGUGGCGGACGGGUGAGUAAUGUCUGGGAAACUGCCUGAUGGAGGGGGAUAACUACUGGAAACGGUAGCUAAUACCGCAUACCAUCAGAUGUGCCCAGAUGGGAUUAGCUUGUGGGUGGGGUAACGGCUCACCAAGGCGACGAUCCCUAUCUGGUCUGAUAGGAUGAGCAGACACACUGGAACGGUGACACGGGGCGGACUCCUACGGGAGGCAGCAGUGGGGAAUAUUGCACAGUGGGCGCAAGCCUGAUGCAGCCAUGCAGCGUGUAUGAAGAAGGCCUUCGGGUUGUAAAGUACGUUCAGCGGGGAGGCGGUGCCAGCAGAAGAAGGACCGGCUAACUCCGUGCCAGCAGCCGCGGUAAUAC
rnacentral:rRNA from 1 species